UACGUAGGGUGCAAGCGUUAUCCGGAAUUAUUGGGCGUAAAGAGCUCGUAGGCGGUUUGUCGCGUCUGCUGUGAAAACCCGAGGCUCAACCUCGGGCCUGCAGUGGGUACGGGCAGACUAGAGUGCGGUAGGGGAGAUUGGAAUUCCUGGUGUAGCGGUGGAAUGCGCAGAUAUCAGGAAGAACACCCGUGGCGAAGGCGGUUCUCUGGGACGGUACUGACGCUGAGACGCGAAAGCGUGGGGAGCGAACAGG
rnacentral:rRNA from 1 species